rnacentral:rRNA from 1 species
GACGUAGGGCGCGAGCGUUUGUCCGGAUUUAUUGGGCGUAAAGAGCUCGUAGGCGGCUUGUCGCGUCGACCGUGAAAACUUGGGGCUCAACCCCAAGCCUGCGGUCGAUACGGGCAGGCUAGAGUUCGGUAGGGGAGACUGGAAUUCCUGGUGUAGCGGUGAAAUGCGCAGAUAUCAGGAGGAACACCGAUGGCGAAGGCAGGUCUCUGGGCCACUACUGACGCUGAGAAGCGAAAGCAUGGGGGAGCGAACAGG